AUUGAACGCUGGCGGCAGGCCUAACACAUGCAAGUCGAGCGAGUGGCGGACGGGUGAGUAAUGUCUGGGAAACUGCCCGAUGGAGGGGGAUAACUACUGGAAACGGUAGCUAAUACCGCAUACCAUCGGAUGUACCCAUAUGGGAUUAGCUAGUUGGUGGGGUAAAGGCUCACCUAGGCGACGAUCCCUAGCUGGUCUGAGAGGAUGACCAGCCACACUGGAACUGAGACACGGCCCAGACUCCUACGGUAGGCAGCAGUGGGGAAUAUUGCACAAUGGGCGCAAGCCUGAUGCAGCCAUGCCGCGUGUAUGAAGAAGGCCUUAGGGUUGUAAAGUACUUUCAGCGGGGAGGCGUUACCCGCAGAAGAAGCACCGGCUAACUCCGUGCCAGCAGCCGCGGUAAUUC
rnacentral:rRNA from 1 species